AUAGGGCAGACUUUUUGAUUAUGAACCCGACCCGAUCUGACCCAAUUUUAAAUUGAGUUGGAUUUGGAUCCAACAUUAGGACCCGAUUAAGGGACUAGCUUGGAUCGGAAUCACUUAUGACUCGGUUCGACCAGACCCAUUUGCAACCCUAAUCUCCACACGCCCAAAGUAGUUGGGCAACUUAGUUUCUACGCCAAGAAAAAGAAAGACUGCGGUUCAAGUGUUGAGAUCACGGAAAGAGGAAGAUCAAGUGUUGAUCAAAGAUCCAAAAGGCUGAGAUUUGG
rnacentral:lncRNA from 1 species